AGACAGAGAGCGUGCGAAGGGGGGGGGGGGGGAGAGCAGAUACUUGGUGACGCGUUGCAGCAGGACAAUCGAGUCUGAAGGCGCGCAGCCAGCGGACACGGACUGAAGAUGCAGGUGAUGUCCUGGAGUGUGGAUUUAGCUGACAGAAUGAUAUUUGCCAAGCUCCUCCUCCCCUUCAUCAUAUUCCACCCUUUUUGUAAAGCCUCCAACAACCCUCCACAAUUUAACAACUACUUCUUCACGACCUACCUGCUCAUCUAUGAAGACACACCUGUUGGUGAGUCCUGACUGUCU